rnacentral:rRNA from 1 species
UUAAAUCAGUUAUCGUUUAUUUGAUAGUACCUUACUACUUGGAUAACCGUGGUAAUUCUAGAGCUAAUACAUGCUAAAAAUCCCGACUUCGGAAGGGAUGUGUUUAUUAGAUUAAAAACCAAUGCCCUUCGGGGCUCACUGGUGAUUCAUGAUAACCUCUCGAAUCGCAUGGCCUUGCGCCGGCGAUGGUUCAUUCAAAUUUCUGCCCUAUCAACUUUCGAUGGCUGGGUCUUGGCCAGCCAUGGUGACAACGGGUAACGGAGGGUUAGGGCUCGACCCCGGAGAAGAAGCAUGAGAAUCGGCUUCUACAUCCAAGGAAGGCAGCAGGCGCGCAAAUUACCCAAUCCCGACUCGGGGAGGUAGUGACAAUAAAUACUGAUACAGGGCUCUUUUGGGUCUUGUAAUUGGAAUGAGUACAAUUUAAAUCCCUUAACGAGGAACAAUUGGAGGGCAAGUCUGGUGCCAGCAGCCGCGGUAAUUCCAGCUCCAAUAGCGUAUAUUAAAGUUGUUGCAGUUAAAAAGCUCGUAGUUGAACCUUGGGCCUGGCUGGCCGGUCCGCCUCACCGCGUGCACUGGUCCGGCCGGGCCUUUCCCUCUGGGGAACCGCAUGUCCUUCACUGGGCGUGCUGGGGAACCAGGACUUUUACUUUGAAAAAAUUAGAGUGUUCAAAGCAGGCCUAUGCUCGAAUACAUUAGCAUGGAAUAAUAGAAUAGGACGUGCGGUUCUAUUUUGUUGGUUUCUAGGACCGCCGUAAUGAUUAAUAGGGACAGUCGGGGGCAUCAGUAUUCAAUUGUCAGAGGUGAAAUUCUUGGAUUUAUUGAAGACUAACUACUGCGAAAGCAUUUGCCAAGGAUGUUUUCAUUAAUCAGGAACGAAAGUUAGGGGAUCGAAGACGAUCAGAUACCGUCGUAGUCUUAACCAUAAACUAUGCCGACUAGGGAUCGGACGAUGUUAUUUUUUGACUCGUUCGGCACCUUACACGAAA